UACGUAGGCAGCGAGCGUUGUUCGGAGUUACUGGGCGUAAAGGGUGUGUAGGCGGUCUUCUAAGUCUGGUGUGAAAUCUCCCGGCUCAACUGGGAGGGUGCGCCGGAAACUGGGAGGCUAGAGUGCGGGAUGGGAGAGUGGAAUUCCUGGUGUAGCGGUGAAAUGCGUAGAUAUCAGGAGGAACACCGGUGGUGUAGACGGCUCUCUGGACCGCAACUGACGCUGAGACACGAAAGCGUGGGUAGCAAACAGG
rnacentral:rRNA from 1 species